rnacentral:SRP_RNA from 1 species
GGAAGGACUUCGUAUGGCGUUUACCUCAUGAACUCCCCCAGGGCAGGAAUGCAGCAAGGGUAAGUGGGCUCUGGCGGGUGUAUGAAGUCCCUUUAUU